UCACUGCAAUAAUUACUUUUUUAAAUAUUACUCAGCACGAACGAAAUACGCGGUGAUUUUAAACAGAUAAUUUAGUGGAUGAUUAAAAUGUUUUCACAUUAUUUUUUUCUUUCUCAGUGAAAUACAGUUUAUUUAACAUAUUAAGAAGAUACGAUACUUUUACGCAUACCAACAAAUUUGUAUUGGCGGCGCUGAGAACCUUGGGUGAGGGGCCGGUAACCCUUUUGCAGAACAUUUUAUACGCUCUUAAUGAUUUUUUGGCAAUGAAAAUUUUUUCUAACGAAAUAAAGACUCUAAUAGUCAAUCCGAAAAUAUCAAAAUUUUUUAUAUUGAUCAUUUCGACAAUUUUCUUGGCCAAUGUUGUGAUUAAUUCAAAUGCGGAGGAAAAUUAUGUUCCAGAAGAAGAUUGGUGUGUCCAAAAGUCCCAGUGAUGCAACAACAAUUGCACUUGGGACGAAGUUAGGGGUGAUUAUUGCGCCUAUAAAAAUGGUAUUCCAGAAGAUGAUGGCUUUGAUGAAUUUGAAUCAUCUAAGUGUCGCCCAGAAGGA